rnacentral:rRNA from 1 species
GAUAGCUCAGUAACACGUGGCCAAACUACCCUAUGGAUCCGAAUAACCUCGGGAAACUGAGGCUAAUUCGGAAUACGAAUCCCAGGCUGGAACUGCCGGGAUUCCGAAACGUUACGGCGCCAUAGGAUGUGGCUGCGGCCGAUUAGGUAGACGGUGGGGUAACGGCCCACCGUGCCGAUAAUCGGUACGGGUUGUGAGAGCAAGAGCCCGGAGACGGUAUCUGAGACAAGAUACCGGGCCCUACGGGGCGCAGCAGGCGCGAAACCUUUACACUGCACGCGAGUGCGAUAAGGGGACUCCAAGUGCGAGGGCAUAUCGUCCUCGCUUUUCGCGACCGUAAGGUGGUCGCAGAAUAAGUGCUGGGCAAGACCGGUGCCAGCCGCCGCGGUAAUACCGGCAGCACGAGUGAUGACCGCUAUUAUUGGGCCUAAAGCGUCCGUAGCUGGCCAGCCAAGUCCAUCGGGAAAUCCGCGCGCUUAACGCGCGGGCGUCCGGUGGAAACUGGAUGGCUUGGGACCGGAAGACCAGAGGGGUACGUCCGGGGUAGGAGUGAAAUCCCGUAAUCCUGGACGGACCACCGGUGGCGAAAGCGCCUCUGGAAGACGGAUCCGACGGUGAGGGACGAAAGCUCGGGUCACGAACCGGAUUAGAU